UGUCCACACAAAAGGUUCUCCAAGUCCCCC
rnacentral:piRNA from 1 species